ACCGGCGGGAUGGUUGGGUUUGUGGUGUGCGGCUUUCCGGCUGUGUUCAUCCCCCUUUACACCAUAUGUAUCGCUAUUGUGAAUGAUUUCGAGCAUACUUGAACAACCCUGGGAAUCAGGUGUUCAGUGAUUGAAACGGGUGGAAGAGGAGGAAAGCCGUCAAGGAAGGACUGGUCGAAAGCCUGCCAUGACGGGAAAUUUGCGAAAGAUGGCCGACUUCCUGGCCGGUUUGCCUGCUCUUGGACCUUGGAAUUGGAGUUGGCUGGAUGCAGAAAAAUCGUGGAAAAUCGAACUUACGAACUACAUAUUAAAUAAUCUGAAAAUAAAGAAAAAAUUACAUCCUAAAAAAAAAAAAUAUAUAAGAAAUUAUAAAAAUAAUCUAAAACUACAAGCUUAACUUACCUAAAGGCUACAUACUAAACUUACCUAAGAACUAAGUUAACAAAACCACAAGCAAAAAAAAUACUUAAAAUCUACAAGCUAGAUAAAAAAGAAAAAAACAAACAAACAGUGAAUUGAAUACAUCUUAAAGUUACGAAGAUAUCUAAGAAUUGAGCAUACCUAAAAGAAAAAUUACAAUCUAAAUAAGACUAAAAUCUUACAAGCUACAUAACGCUACAUCUUAAAAAUAAAGUUAAAAAAAAAAAAAAAAAACAACGGAUACACCAUCAUCAACCGCAUCUAGCCACCAUCGCCUCUCCAAUCAACGUGGGAGCUCCAGAUGCUUGUAACCUCCUCCGGGUUGCAGGGGUAAAUGCCGGACUUCGGACUAAGACGGACGACCUAUAAAGACAAACAUUUUUAUUACAGUUUACACGUACACAUAUAAAUAUAUUUGGGCCAAAUAAUAUUUAAAUAUACAUUGUUCUUACCUGGGGGAGACAAGAAGGGCUAUUUGUCCCAACUCAGUUGCAGUGGGUUCCGUUUUAGAAGGAGCCGUAGGCGCUAGGAUCAGAGCUCUAAUCCGGGUAGGUCCUCAAAACGUUGAAUAGGGAGUUUUUGCCCACCGGGCAAAUAUCAUCUUGUCCAACCAGAAAAGAAAGGAGUAAUUAAAAAAGAAAAUAGAAAAAGGUAUGAUAUGUUUAUAUUGACAACACGGACGGACAGAACAAACAACGGACGGAUACUAAUACGCGGACGGAUAUUAGCGGCAGCCCGGCCGAAGCGGGUGGAAAUCCUUACUUCAGCGGAGGAAGAUGACUAGACGAUGCCAGAUCAAAGGCGAAAUGGGGACCCCAUGGUCGAAACUUUGAUUAUUGUUAUGAUAUGUAUUUUCUGUUGAUGCCAAUAAAGGCAGUUUUAUAAUGUUUUUACAAGGCAA